rnacentral:rRNA from 1 species
GACGAACGCUGGCGGCGUGCUUAACACAUGCAAGUCGAACGGAAAGGCCCUGCUUUUGUGGGGUGCUCGAGUGGCGAACGGGUGAGUAACACGUGAGUAACCUGCCCUUGACUUUGGGAUAACUUCAGGAAACUGGGGCUAAUACCGGAUAGGAGCUCCUGCUGCAUGGUGGGGGUUGGAAAGUUUCGGCGGUUGGGGAUGGACUCGCGGCUUAUCAGCUUGUUGGUGGGGUAGUGGCUUACCAAGGCUUUGACGGGUAGCCGGCCUGAGAGGGUGACCGGCCACAUUGGGACUGAGAUACGGCCCAGACUGCAACGGGAGGCAGCAGUGGGGAAUAUUGCACAAUGGGCGGAAGCCUGAUGCAGCAACGCCGCGUGCGGGAUGAAGGCCGUCGGGUUGUAAACCGAUUUAGAAUGUGACGAAGAGUGAGUGACGGUAAUGGGUAAAGAAGCACCGGCUAACUACGUG